CAGCGGUCAAAGGCACAGCACAUCAGUGCUACAGGCGUCACUACAGACUUCCUGGUUCAAAUCCAGGCUGCGUUUCUAUCAAAGUAAGUGCCUUAUUACGUUAUAAUAGUUUCUGCUGUAGCUCACUGUAUGUAUGGAUCAUAAUAUAUUCCUUAUAACCGCGGACACGUGAGAAACCACAAACAUUAUUUGCCAAUAUCAUAACUGGAGCUGGACAUCUUUGGAGCAGAAGCACGAGGACAGCUUUUGUAUGCUAACGUACACUCCUUAACAGUCUUACUGGAUGAAAACACAGCAAGAAAACACAUAUGCCAAUAUGCAGACUUUGCAGUGCCUCCUUGUGCGACUACCUUGAGCAGCAGUUUGAGGGACUUUGCAGGGAAAAUGCCGUGAGGCGUAAGGGAUUGUUUACAGCAGGACGACCCCCAGUGGAUGGGCGCCGAGGGGUGUGGUGCUCCUCCAGCAGCUCUCUCAUGAGGUUCUCUGUAUUUUUGGUAGGUAAUUACUUUACCUAAGAGGGAGUGGGGAGGAUGAAGAAAGUUAGAGGAUGAGGCAGUGGGUAGGUGGGUGAGAUAUUGUCACUAUAAUUGCAUAAUGGAUUUGUAUGUGAACUGUACAUCCAAUUACAAAAAUAGCUUGUUCAGUAAUCAUCUCACCUGUUAGUUGGCGGUGA